rnacentral:rRNA from 1 species
UACAGAGGUCUCAAGCGUUGUUCGGAUUCAUUGGGCGUAAAGGGUGCGUAGGCGGCGCGGUAAGUCCGCUGUGAAAGUCGGGGGCUCAACCCUCGAAUGCCGGUGGAUACUGUCGGGCUAGAGUGCGGAAGAGGCGAGUGGAAUUCCUGGUGUAGCGGUGAAAUGCGCAGAUAUCAGGAGGAACACCAAUUGCGAAGGCAGCUCGCUGGGACGUUACUGACGCUGAGACGCGAAAGCGUGGGGAGCAAACAGG